GAGCCACAGUUAAGACCAAAGAGCUUUAGGUUGUUUCUGAGUCACAGCUUGCUUUCCAGAAAAGCUCAGGGCUCCCUGGGCAGUUCCCUGGGAAGGUAGAGAAGCCUCUGGGCUGUUCUGAUCUACACCCACUGUCCCAAAUCUCUUUUGUGUGUCCAAGUUCCUUUGGGCUUGACUCUCUGUGUGGAAGGAGCCAACAAUGGCAUGGAAGCAAAAUUACCCCUAAAAAGGGCCAAUGAGAGGCUGAAAAACAGAUGGAAGUGGGAGCUGAAUUAUGUACCAGAUAUCCCUCAGACUGGUGGGAAAGAGAGAAAAUUCAUGCAGACAAUGGAAAAAAAUAUUUGUGCAGCUUACGGAGACACGUCCAGGGGGACUGAGCUGUUGCUGGAAGGAACCUCUGACUCCAGCUUGCCUCAUCCAUUCGGGAAGCAGCGUGAGUGGAGCCUAAGCCACCUGGCUUUGGGAAGGAGGGUGCUUUUCUCUGCACCUUCUUUCUAACUCUUAACAGCUUUUAAUAAAAUUCUGGCAACUUGGCACAUUUGAAAAGCUGGCCGCUGCCCAUCGGGGAUGUAUGUCAUGAAUUCUUGUGCUGCAGAUGCCUUUCUGAAAUAAAUCACAUGUGUUUACCUUGGGAACCAGGCACAGGACCCCAGGACUUGAGGUUCAAGUAUUACAAGGCACUAAAUUGACAAGCAGCUCCUUUAAAAUCACCUGGUUUUAAUGGGAAUUGAUUCUGCACACUCCAAUUACUGCUGAAAGCUGUAAUUCUUCCAAGCAUCUCUUCUUCCCUGAAUGUGUUUGGUGGGUCAGGAGUCCUGCUGGGGGGGUUCCAGUUCUAGGGUGUCCCUGAACAAUCCAAGGAUCCUGAUGUGUGUCAAGGCUGUUUCCUCUGAUGUCCACAGCUCUCUGCUGAGGGGCGUGCUGGGGACCUGCCCCUGGGUUCUGCCGGCUCGAGUCGCUCUUGGAAACAUUUCCAAAGCCUGGAGGAAGGAUGGGCAGAGGAGUGUGGCUCUGUGCUGACUUCCAGGAGUUCUACAGAUGCAGGCUGCCAGUUUCUGGUGGAGAGGGCACGGUGGAGAGCAGUGGCCAGCCCCAGUGUCACAGGCUGUAUGGUGACAUCAAACAGGCGUGGGCUCUUCUGUGUCCCUGAGGACAACAGGUGUGGCACACCUUGUACCCACAGAGCCAAACUCUCCCUUCUAUUCCAAAACACUGUCCAAACUGCCACUAGGACACUUGCCUUGGUGCAUGCUGUCCUGUGCUGUCCCAGUCAGCGAGAUGAAAACCAGAGCACACAUAAAACCUGUAGAUGGGUGCUGUGAUUCUCAGCUGACUGGUGGAAAUGUUAGGUGGAAAGGAAGGCCUAUUUCAUCCUGAUAGCAUCUUCAGUGAAAAGUUUGAUGGCACAAGUGGGUAAUAGUGAGCUAUAAGAAAAAAGCUGAUGGUUCAUCCACAGAUCAAGAACUUUGCAAAUCACAGCCCCAGGCUUGUUCUAUUUAUGCUUCUCCUUUAAUGACGUAAGCAUUAGUAUUUGCUGUGAGGAGAAAAAUGGGAAGAUAUUUGGCUUUUACCUAACUGCUGCUAUUUUGGGCUGUGCUAGGGUUCCUGCAGGAAGUGAACACAGGUCCCAGAGCACUGACCCAAUUCUUCUGUGACUAAGUAUGCUCCAUCUAACCCGAAAUUCUCCCAUGCCUUCUGUUUGAUAUAACAUCCUUUCUUGCUUCCUGCCCUGACCAGCAGCAGAAAGCUCUUGUCUGCCAGGUCAACAUGGCUGAGAAUGGGGGGUGAAAUCAUUCCUAUACUUAGUUUCCAAACUGGACAGGAGUGAUGCCAUCUCAGGGUAAAGAAAAGGAACCAGUUGCUUACUCAGAGAUUGUGAGCUGCUCCUCAGCUGGAGGCUGGAGCUGGGGAUGGGCCUGAAGAGAUGUGAGCACAUAAAUGCAAGCCUGUGAUGCCAAAACCUCUGCACAGCAAUGCCUGGGCUUGGCAGAUCUGUGUUGGCUGCAGCUCCUCCUGACCAAAAAUGAAUUGCAGGUCUGCUGAUUGCUGCAGGUGGGAAAGGAGGCUUAGAGCUCUCCUGUGUCCCUCUUACUGUUAGGACCCAUAGAAAAGCCACAUUUAUUUUGCUUAACUAUUUCCCACGUGUUCUGAGCGAACUGGGGACUGCCUAACAGACAAACCUGGCACAAACCACACAUGUCAGCAUUCCUAAGGGUUUUGUGCUCCUCCUCAGAAAGGUGACUCUGUCAAAUGCUGCUGAAAAGUGUGAAGCUGGAAGCCCUGGAGAAUUACCCUGCUUAUCUGCAAACAGGCUCAGUUUAAACUUUCUCAGGUAAGGUCAGAACUAUUCCAGAAUAUUUAUGGGUUCAUCUGGCACCUGAAUAUUGUGGAAAAUCACACAAGAAAUACCCUUGUGGCAUUUGCAGCUGAGACUGCAGGAAAGCAAAAAAUCGCAAUGGACAUCCUGUGUUUCCAUCUCACCUCCCCAGAAACUUCAGAAAAAACCUUGAGACUUUCCCUGAAAAGAACCAAGAUUGUCCACCCUGCAACUGGCUUUUCUUGAGUAGAGUGUAAGGGACAAGAGGAGGACUGAGAGAGCGUGGCCCAGACAUGGAUAUGGGUCCCCUGUGUAACUUUGUCAAAGCUCAGAGACUUCCUCCCAAGUCCCAUGAAUUGCCUAACUCCAGGACUCCAGGAAAGGAGCUGGUUCUUGGAGGAUGCUUAGAACAAAAAUGACAGUGGACAGCUUGUUCCCUCCACAUUGGCAUAGAGAUUGCUGGUAUUGCAAGCAGGCAAUGCUUCCCUGCUUCCCAGAGGGAGAAUGGAAAGCUGGAACACCAUCCUGGAGUAAAGAGACAGG